rnacentral:snRNA from 1 species
GUCCAUGGGGUCACAAAGAGUUGGACACGACUGAGUGACUGAACUGAACAGAGAAGAUCAGCAAGGCCCCUUCCCAAAGAUGACAUACAAAUUCAUGAAGCAUUCCAUAUUUUU